AGAGUUUGAUCCUGGCUCAGAUUGAACGCUGGCGGCAUGCCUUACACAUGCAAGUCGAACGGUAACAGGGAGCUUGCUCCGCUGACGAGUGGCGAACGGGUGAGUAAUAUAUCGGAACAUACCCUAGAGUGGGGGAUAACGUAGCGAAAGUUACGCUAAUACCGCAUACGAACUAAGGUUGAAAGUGGGGGCUCGCAAGACCUCAUGCUCAUGGAGUGGCCGAUAUCUGAUUAGCUAGUUGGUGAGGUAAAGGCUCACCAAGGCGACGAUCAGUAGCUGGUUUGAGAGAACGACCAGCCACACUGGAACUGAGACACGGUCCAGACUCCUACGGGAGGCAGCAGUGGGGAAUUUUGGACAAUGGGGGCAACCCUGAUCCAGCAAUGCCGCGUGAGUGAAGAAGGCCUUCGGGUUGUAAAGCUCUUUUGUCAGGGAAGAAACGGUGAGGUCUAAUACACUUUACUAAUGACGGUACCUGAAGAAUAAGCACCGGCUAACUACGUGCCAGCAGCCGCGGUAAUACGUAGGGUGCAAGCGUUAAUCGGAAUUACUGGGCGUAAAGCGUGCGCAGGCGGUUAUAUAAGUCAGAUGUGAAAUCCCCGGGCUCAACCUGGGAACUGCAUUUGAGACUGUAUGGCUAGAGUGUGUCAGAGGGGGGUAGAAUUCCACGUGUAGCAGUGAAAUGCGUAGAUAUGUGGAGGAAUACCGAUGGCGAAGGCAGCCCCCUGGGAUAACACUGACGCUCAUGCACGAAAGCGUGGGGAGCGAACAGGAUUAGAUACCCUGGUAGUCC
rnacentral:rRNA from 1 species